rnacentral:misc_RNA from 1 species
GAUGAAGAACGUAGCGAAAUGCGAUAAGUAGUGUGAAUUGCAGAAUUCAGUGAAUCAUCGAAUCUUUGAACGCACCUUGCACCCUUUGGCAUUCCGAAGGGUAUGCUCGUUUGAGUGUCAUUGUACUCUCACACUCUCCGAUCCUAUGGAUUCGGGGAGCGGUGGACUUGGGUGUUGCUGCCUUUCCCUGUGGCUCACCUCAAAUGCGUCAGUGCACCUCUUGGUUGGACAUAGUACGGCGUGAUAAGUGUCUUCGCCGGCACCUCGCAAGAGGGUGGCCGAUCGGGAGCUCUGCGCUUUCAAACCGUCUUCGGACAAUUUCUGACAUCUUGACCUCAAAUCGAGUAGGACUACCCGCUGAACUUAAGCAUAUCAAUAAGCGGAGGA